GAACUUCAGGAGAACAUAUACUAAAAUUGGAAUAGUACAGAGACAAUUAGCAUGGCCUUUGCACAAGGAUGACACUCAAGUUCCCAAAGUAAUAAAAAAAAAAA
ensembl:snRNA U6 U6 spliceosomal RNA